AAAAGUUUGUCCAUGAGCUGUCAUGCUCGCUAGGCGAGUAGAAUGGGUCGCCUAGUAAGUCCCAAGAAAAGCCACCAAAAUCACCUACGCUCAGAGGAAUUUCUUGAACUGUCAUGCUCGCUAGGCGAAGGCCACGUGUUUAAAAAAAAAGAACGAAAAAAGAAGAAAAAAAAACGAAAAACGAAAAACGAAAAAUAAAUAAAUAAAUAAAUAAUUAAAUAAAUAAAUAAAAUAUAACAGAAAAUUUUGGACUUGGGCCUCUCUCAUUUGAGCCCACAGGUCCAUAAAAA
rnacentral:lncRNA from 1 species